UNUCCCCUAUGUGUGAUGCAUGGUGUCU
rnacentral:piRNA from 1 species